UACGUAGGGUGCAAGCGUUGUCCGGAAUUAUUGGGCGUAAAGAGUUCGUAGGCGGUCUGUCGCGUCGAAUGUGAAAACCCGGGGCUCAACCCCGGGCCUGCAUUCGAUACGGGCAGACUAGAGUUCGGUAGGGGAGACUGGAAUUCCUGGUGUAGCGGUGAAAUGCGCAGAUAUCAGGAGGAACACCUGUGGCGAAAGCGGCGCACUGGACCACAACUGACGCUGAGGCGCGAAAGCUAGGGGAGCAAACAGG
rnacentral:rRNA from 1 species